AGUGAACGCUGGCGGUAGGCCUAACACAUGCAAGUCGAACGGCAGCACAGUAAGAGCUUGCUCUUACGGGUGGCGAGUGGCGGACGGGUGAGGAAUACAUCGGAAUCUACUUUUUCGUGGGGGAUAACGUAGGGAAACUUACGCUAAUACCGCAUACGACCUACGGGUGAAAGCAGGGGAUCUUCGGACCUUGCGCGAUUGGAUGAGCCGAUGUCGGGUUAGCUAGUUGGCGGGGUAAAGGCCCACCAAGGCGACGAUCCGUAGUUGGUCUGAGAGGAUGAUCAGCGACACUGGAACUGAGACACGGUCCAGACUACUACGGGAGGCAGCAGUGGGGAAUAUUGGACAAUGGGCGGAAGCCUGAUCCAGCCAGACCGCGUGGGUGAAGAAGGCCUUCGGGUUGUAAAGCCCUUUUGUUGGGAAAGAAAAGCAGCAGGUUAAUACCCCGCUGUUCUGACGGUACCCAAUGAAUAAGCACCGGCUAACUACGUG
rnacentral:rRNA from 1 species